rnacentral:rRNA from 1 species
UACGUAGGUGGCGAGCGUUGUCCGGAUUUACUGGGCGUAAAGAGCGCGCAGGCGGUCGUGCAAGUCGCGUGUGAAAGCCCCCGGCUCAACUGGGGAGGGUCACGCGAUACUGCUCGACUCGAAGGCAGGAGAGGGAAGUGGAAUUCCCGGUGUAGUGGUGAAAUGCGUAGAUAUCGGGAGGAACACCAGUGGCGAAGGCGACUUCCUGGCCUGUUCUUGACGCUGAGGCGCGAAAGCUAGGGUAGCAAACGUG